UACAGAGGUCCCGAGCGUUGUUCGGAUUUACUGGGCGUAAAGGGUGCGUAGGCGGUGGGGUAAGUUUGAGGUGAAAGCUCCGGGCUCAACCCGGAAAAUGCCUUGAAAACUAUCCGGCUAGAGGGUUGGAGGGGAGACUGGAAUUCUCGGUGUAGCAGUGAAAUGCGUAGAGAUCCGGAGGAACACCAGUGGCGAAGGCGGCUUCCUGGACCGACACUGACGCUGAGGCGGCGAAAAGCCUGA
rnacentral:rRNA from 1 species